UCCGCACUGGUGUAACGGCUAGCAUACCGAGCUUUCAUUCACAAAAGAAGGUGAGCUCCUCGGAGACCGGGGUUCGACUCCCCGGUGCGGAA